AUUAUUUUUGGCUGCGACGUUUGUCACCCCAUUGAUUGCCAGGGUUGAUUCGGCUGAUCUGGCUGGCUAGGCGGGUGUCCCCUUCCUCCCUCACCGCUCCAUGUGCGUCCCUCCCGAAGCUGCGCGCUCGGUGGAAGAGGACGACCUUCCCCGAUAGAGGAGAGGACCGUUCUUCGGUCAAGGGUAUACGAGUAGCUGCACUCCCCUGCUAGAACCUCCAAACAAGCUCACCUUUAAAUUUUUUUAUUCCUUGUAAGGCUGUUGUAAAAAUUCAAUUAAAUUAUGUAAAUUACAUAGAAAAGAGUAGGUCCAAUACUAUCUUU
rnacentral:snRNA from 1 species